rnacentral:rRNA from 1 species
GACGAACGCUGGCGGCGUGCUUAACACAUGCAAGUCGAACGAAGUGGCGAACGGGUGAGUAACGCGUAAUCAACCUGCCCUUCAGAGGGGGACAACAGUUGGAACCGACUGCUAAUACCGCAUACUGAAGGAGGGGAUUGCGUUUGAUUCGCUAGUAGGUAAGGUAAUGGCUUACCUAGGCGACGAUCCCUAGCUGGUCUGAGAGGAUGAUCAGCCACACUGGAACUGAGCCACGGUCCAGACUCCUACGGGAGGCAGCAGGGGGGAAUAUUGGACAAUGGGCGAAAGCCUGAUCCAGCCAUGCCGCGUGUGUGAAGAAGGUCUUCGGAUUGUAAAGCACUUUAAGUUGGGAGGCGUUACCAACAGAAUAAGCACCGGCUAACUUCGUGCCAGCAGCCGCGGUAAUUC